rnacentral:rRNA from 1 species
UUAAGAUUAAGCCAUGCAUGUCUAAGUAUAAGCAAUUAUACAGCGAAACUGCGAAUGGCUCAUUAAAUCAGUUAUCGUUUAUUUGAUAGUACCUUACUACAUGGAUAACCGUGGUAAUUCUAGAGCUAAUACAUGCUGAAAACCCCGACUUCGGAAGGGGUGUAUUUAUUAGAUUAAAAACCAAUGCCCUCCGGGGCUUACUGGUGAUUCAUGAUAACUUCUCGAAUCGCACGGCCUUGCGCCGGCGAUGGUUCAUUCAAAUUUCUGCCCUAUCAACUUUCGACGGCUGGGUCUUGGCCAGCCGUGGUGACAACGGGUAACGGAGGGUUAGGGCUCGACCCCGGAGAAAACGCCUGAGAAACGGCGUUUACAUCCAAGGAAGGCAGCAGGCGCGCAAAUUACCCAAUGCCGACACGGCGAGGUAGUGACGAGAAAUACUGAUACAGGGCUCUUUUGGGUCUUGUAAUUGGAAUGAGUACAAUUUAAAUCCCUUAACGAGGAACAAUUGGAGGGCAAGUCUGGUGCCAGCAGCCGCGGUAAUUCCAGCUCCAAUAGCGUAUAUUAAAGUUGUUGCAGUUAAAAAGCUCGUAGUUGAACCUUGGGCCUGGCUGGCCGGUCCGCCUCACCGCGUGCACUGGUCCGGCCGGGCCUUUCCCUCUGGGGAACCCCAUGCCCUUCACUGGGCGUGGCGGGGAACCAGGACUUUUACUUUGAAAAAAUUAGAGUGUUCAAAGCAGCCUAUGCUCGAAUACAUUAGCAUGGAAUAAUAGAAUAGGACGUGCGGUUCUAUUUUGUUGGUUUCUAGGACCGCCGUAAUGAUUAAUAGGGACAGUCGGGGGCGUCAGUAUUCAAUUGUCAGAGGUGAAAUUCUUGGAUUUAUUGAAGACUAACUACUGCGAAAGCAUUC